AUGUUGCAGCCGCUCCGUGAACAUGAAGCAUGGUCUGUAUUUUGUAGCACCACAUUCAGGGAAAAUGCAAACCAGGAGUGCCCAUAUCACCUGCAGAAUUGGGCUCUCAAGAUACUGCAAAAAUGUUGUGGGCUGCCAUUGGCGAUUAUAUCGGUUGGAAACCUCCUUCUGUUGAAGGAGAAAACAGAGUUUGCUUGGAAGAACGUCCAUGAUAGCCUUGUGUGGGAUGAAAGAGAUGACCAUGGAAUUGGGCAAGUGGCGAGCAUAGUGAAUUUCAGUAUUAAUGACUUACCAUACCGCCUGAAGAGAUGUUUCCUCUAUUGCAGUGUAUACCCUAUGGAUUUCUUUGUCAAAAGGAAGAUUCUUAUCAGAGAGUGGAUAGCACAAGGUUUGAUAGUGGAAACUGGGCAUGUCUCCAUGGAGGAGGUCGCGGAUGGUUACGUGAACGAGCUAGUGCAACGGAACUUGUUGCUUGUCAAGUUGAAAAAUGAGUUUGGGCGUGCAAAGCGGUUACACAUUCACGACCUGAUCAGGGAGAUUGUUGCAUAUAGAUCAAAAGAAGAUGGAUACUUUCAGUUAUCUACAAGUGCAGGGGUGGACUUAAAACAGAAAAUCCGUUAUCGUACACUUUACCAGUGCAAAAAUGACCAUCAGUCAACUCCAAAUAUGCCCUCACUUCGCUCCUUCUAUGUGCUUAGAUCAGACCUAGAUGUUGCACUAUUUUCUCAUUUUAGAUUGUUAACUGUGCUAAAUCUUUGGUACGUUAAGGCAUGUAAACUGCCUAGUGCAGUGGCCAAUCUUCCAAAUCUGUGGUACCUUGGCGUACGCUCCACCUACAUUGAAGAACUACUGAAAGAACUGGGGAGACUACGUGAUUUGCACACUUUAGAUGCCAAAUGGUCCAGUAUCAAGGUAUUACCAAGUAUCAUAACCAAACGGAAGAACCUCCAGCACCUGAUAUUAUUUACACGUGGAACCACAGAUUUUAUGGAACCGGAACCUGGUACAACAGUUUCUCUUCCAGAUGGGCUUGAAAAUCUCAAAUGCCUGCAGACUCUUAAAUAUGUUCAAGCUGAUCAGAAGGUGGUCAAAUCCUUAGAAAGCUUGGAACAGAUGAGGAGCUUAGAGCUAUCUGGAGUAGACCAGAGAAUUCUUAUCGAUUUUCCCUUAGCAAUAUCCAAAAUGAGCUGCCUUCUGCGCUUGGGAAUAAUCAAUUCCGAUGCUAAUGUAACAUUGGACUUGGAGUCAUUUUCUCCAGCACCAGUGAAGCUAAAACCCUCAAUGUAA
rnacentral:rRNA from 1 species